rnacentral:misc_RNA from 1 species
UUUCCGUAGGUGAACCUGCGGAAGGAUCAUUACUGAAGUGAGUCUUCAUCAUUGAAGCUUCUUCCCAUUGUGCUGGCUUUGUCCGUAUGUAAUGUUGGGGAUUAAACAUGGUUGAAAUUUAUUUUAGCCGUCCCCAACAAUUUAUCUUAUCCUUUAUUAAAUUGAACUGAACUCAUUUUGAGAUUACAUAAAAAAUAAUCUUUUAAUACAACUUUCAACAACGGAUCUCUUGGUUCUC